rnacentral:misc_RNA from 1 species
GGAAUAUCCUUCUUCUGCAAUCGCACAAUGAGUUUGGCUUGAAUGUCUUGAUAUUUAAGUGUCAUAACAAGGUAAAACUAACCUUUUAUUUGAAUGUUGUCCUUUGGAGUUGAUGGGAACGUGGUUUCCAAAGGAUUAUUUGAAUGUCGAUUUAAUUCAACAUUAGAAACAAGGAUAGGAGGAAUAUCCUUCUUCUGCAACAGCACAGUGAGUUUUUGAAACGUUAACAUGUAUCUAGUUUCUGAGGAUGAAGAUAGGAGUGAGUGUUGCUGUGCUUAUGUUGUUAAUCCAUGAUACGGACAGUGGGUAAUGCUGACCUCCAAGUAUGGUUCCUCUAUUCUGUUGCACAGGAUGAUCGGAGAAAGCAAGAAAUGCAUUCUUACAAGAAAGUGUGUUUUAGUUAUAUGCAUGGCUAUUGGAUGCAACAUUUGUUCUUAAUACU